ACAAAGCCAGUCACAUGUAUGUCACAGUGGGGCCGGCCGUGUGCGGUGGCACAUGUGUAAAUAGUAAUACUGAGUGGACGGUGGUCGCUUUAACCUGCUUAUUGUCGCGACUUCAUGUGUCAUCAAAAAUUCAGUCUUUCAGGAAUCGCUGGCACACCUACGUGAUGACAUUGAGGCCGAGGAAGUCAUUAAGAGAAGACGAUGGAGCAAGGCGUGGUCAAUGAGUGGGCAGCGUCAGUGGAGAGCACAGAACCUGAGUAAGUUCCUUCCCAGCACCAGGUUAUUCGACGACAAGCGGGAUUGAGAAAGUGAACUUUAUUCCUCUCUGACAAGUUUGGCCACACGGAAAAUGAUGAAGAUGACUCUGAUGUUAGCCAUAGCACAGACAGUAAAGGCUCAAGAGAGACUCAAGUUCCAGUGAGGACCCAUGUGACAGCCACUCUGACAGUGAUGAGGAGCAAAAACAGUGGAUGGAGAAAACGGCAGUCACUUGGAAGUUGAGAAUGGCAGCGGAAAAUUUACAUUGGUUGGUUACUUGGUUGACUCCCCUCAGAAAAAAGGUGCUGUGCAAGAACGGUAUGUUGGAUUUCACAGAAGUGGUGUCAGAAUAACUUAUUAUGAAAACUCUAGAAGGCUUCUGGAAAAUAUGCACCCUUGAUAAUAUAGGAAAAUAUGUUAAAGGGGGUAGAUUCCCUAGCCCCUCCCCUCGGCUCUUUAAGGUAAAAUUCAGAGGUUCUUCAAGAAAUUUCCACUCAGCCAGAGUUUUCACAAUUUGUUUAGUUGAGAAAGCAGUUACUGGGUACCUACUGUUGUUUGCACUGGGUGAAGAUGGACCUUUUCUGAAUCAGCUGGAUUAGGCUGACAGAAUUACAUGUACAUAAGUCUGUGGCAGAUGACUGAAGCCACUCACUUGUGGCUCUAACUGUCUAGCCUCAGCCACACCCUUUGUAACCCACAACUCUGCUGGGGACAUGCUCAGACAAAAGUACAUUUAUUACAAUGCAUACAGACUUAACUGCUCCCAUUUUGUUACUGUAUUUUUACCAGGUGUUAAAGGUGAUAGCAGCGUGGUUGGUCCCCUGCCCGUAGGGCUCAACUUCUGGUAUCACUGGCCUGAUAGAGUAAGGCGAUAGCAACGUGGUUGGUCCCCUGCCUGUGGGCUCAUCUUCCGGCAUCACUGGCCUGAUAGAGUAAGGUGAUAGCAGCGUAGUUGGUCCCCUGCCCGUAGGGCUCAACUUCUGGCAUCACUGGCCUGAUAGAGUAAGGCGAUAGCAGCGUGGUUGGUCCCCUGCCUGUGGGCUCAUUUUCUGGCA
rnacentral:misc_RNA from 1 species